rnacentral:rRNA from 1 species
GAUGAACGCUGGCGGCGUGCCUAAUACAUGCAAGUCGAGCGAACAGACGAGGAGCUUGCUCCUCUGACGUUAGCGGCGGACGGGUGAGUAACACGUGGAUAACCUACCUAUAAGACUGGGAUAACUUCGGGAAACCGGAGCUAAUACCGGAUAAUAUAUUGAACCGCAUGGUUCAAUAGUGAAAGACGGUUUUGCUGUCACUUAUAGAUGGAUCCGCGCCGCAUUAGCUAGUUGGUAAGGUAACGGCUUACCAAGGCAACGAUGCGUAGCCGACCUGAGAGGGUGAUCGGUCACACUGGAACUGAGACACGGUCCAGACUCCUACGGGAGGCAGCAGUAGGGAAUCUUCCGCAAUGGGCGAAAGCCUGACGGAGCAACGCCGCGUGAGUGAUGAAGGUCUUCGGAUCGUAAAACUCUGUUAUUAGGGAAGAACAAAUGUGUAAGUAACUAUGCACGUCUUGACGGUACCUAAUCAGAAAGCCACGGCUAACUACGU